rnacentral:rRNA from 1 species
GAUGAACGCUAGCUACAGGCUUAACACAUGCAAGUCGAGGGGAAACGACAUCGAAAGCUUGCUUUCGAUGGGCGUCGACCGGCGCACGGGUGAGUAACGCGUAUCCAACCUGCCCACCACUUGGGGAUAACCUUGCGAAAGUAAGACUAAUACCCACUGAUAUCUCUAGAAGACAUCGGAAAGAGAUUAAAGAUUUAUCGGUGCUGGAUGGGGAUGCGUCUGAUUAGCUUGGUGGCGGGGUAACGGCCCACCAAGGCUACGAUCAGUAGGGGUUCUGAGAGGAAGGUCCCCCACAUUGGAACUGAGACACGGUCCAAACUCCUACGGGAGGCAGCAGUGAGGAAUAUUGGUCAAUGGACGAGAGUCUGAACCAGCCAAGUAGCGUGCAGGAUGACGGCCCUAUGGGUUGUAAACUGCUUUUAUAAGGGAAUAAAGUGAGUCUCGUGAGACUUUUUGCAUGUACCUUAUGAAUAAGGACCGGCUAAUUCCGUGCCAGCCGCCGCCGUAA